rnacentral:rRNA from 1 species
AGUGAACGCUGGCGGCAGGCCUAAUACAUGCAAGUCGAACGGCAGCACAGUAAGCGUUCGCCCCUACGGGUGGCGAGUGGCGGAUGGGUGAGGCAUACAUCGCCAUCCUCUUUUUCGGGGGUGACAACGUAGGGAAACUUAUGCUAACACCGCAUAUGUUCUACGGCUGAAAGCAAGAGUUCAUGGGAGUUUUCCUGUCACAUAGAGACGAUGCCGGAUUAGCUAGUUGGCGGGGUAAAGGCCCACCAAGGCAACGAUCCGUAGCUGAUCUGAGAGGAUGAUCGGCCACACUGGAACUGAGACACGGUCCAGACUCCUACGGGAGGCAGCAGUAGGGAAUAUUGGGCAAUGGGCGAAAGCCUGAUCGAGCAAUGCCGCGUGAGUGAUGAAGGCCUUCGGAUUGUAAAACUCUGUUAUUAGGGAAGAAAAGCUGCGUAAUUAACCCCGGAUGUUCUGACGGUACCUAAUGAGAAAGCCCCGGCUAACUUCGUG